CCGGCCCUCAGCAGACAGGACCUCCGAAUCCAGACUCCGAUCUUGGUGCCUGAUGUGACAGCCCUUUCUUAACCUCAGCCUGGUUGGGAGUCUUGGCUCCAUGGCACGGCCCCCUCCUGUCAUUCUUUCCUCUACCUGAGCUGACACUCUCCCUACAAGAGAUCCUGCGCGCUCCCUGUGUGGGCUCCAGGUGGUCCCCUU
rnacentral:lncRNA from 1 species